CCUUAUUCAAUUCUCUUGACAGUUUUGGGCAUCCUUGACAACCUCUUUCUGUCAAAUUCCCAAGACAGUGCAGGUUAGCCACACAUGAAGGAAAAAACAUACUUAUGAACUGUAGUCUGAAGCAGAAGAAUGAAAGAAUAAAGCACAAGAAUGAAAGCAAUUCACCUCGUUGACAGCCAAGAAGUCAUCUGAAUGUAUUAUAAGCUUUCCUUCAAACCAGGAGCCUGCUGUGCAAGCAUCCCACCAAAACAUCACAGAAAACUCUGUUUUAUUUCAAGACCCUACCUGCUGGUAAGCCUGUGAUAAGUUUAAGACUUCAUAAUAAAUCCUUUCAUUUUAAUACUA